CGUCCCAGUCGGUGCGGCUGGCGGGCAUGGCGGCUUUGGCCAGGCCGGCAACGAUCGCCGGUUCGGAGCGGACAUGGGGCGA
rnacentral:tRNA from 1 species